UGGAACUGGGGAUACUGGGAUGGACUGGAAUGGGACUGGGAUCAAACUGGGUUAAACUGGGAUGGACUGGGAACGGCGCGGCUGAACUGGGAGCACUGGAGGGGCCAGCUCUGGUUCGCCGCCUGCCUCAUCUCGGGGGUUCUGGACUAUCAGGAGCGGCUGCGCAGAAAGGACCCCCCCGAGCCCUGGGUCCAGGCCGCUUUUGGGGGGUGCCGGGUGG